CCUGACAAAGGGAUAGACUGUGUGCUAUGUGCAUUCUGCCGCCGUGCUGCGUUGAGGAAGAGGUCGCUUCAUCUCUUCUCUCCUAAAAAAAAAGAAACACAAUUUCGUUGGCAGUAAUAGCCCCGGUUGUGUGUGCUCAACCAGCCCCCGCGGCCGAGGAGGAGACUGUGGGAAGCUUGAGCUUUCUCCCCUCCCUCCUGCCACAAGGACCCGGCCUCUCUCUCUUUCCGCUUGGUUAUGCAAUGCACGUCUCUCCCACGGCUUGCACAGGGGACCCGCCACAACACAGCCGCCACCAGCUGCAGGUGCAGACCAACAGCUACGCAGCAGCACUCAGGCUUUCCAGCUCUCUGGGAUUUUACUGUUGUACUUGGCUCUUUGGAAUACCACUUGCUGAGCGGUGGGCUGUCUGUAGUAGCCGCCGCAAGCGCUAGCGUCUCCAGAGUAACCAUGCUUGGCUGUGCCUCCGGGUUUCAGCGGCAGGCGAUAGAGAGGCGCCUCUGAAAGGCACUAAUUGCUCUGCUCCCGAAGGUGGGAAGCAAGAAAGGAGGAGAGAAGAGGGGGCGUGAACAUUUGUCACAGAGACUGUGGCGCUCGCUCUUUGAGCUGCUAAGAGGGUCAAAAAGACAAGAACUGAGGAGGAGGAAGAGGGGGGCUGUGGUGGAAUUUGGAAUUGGAAAGAGAGGGGCGGGAGGAUGGGGAUCAUAGCGGGGAGGGAGGGGGAGCGUAUGGGGAGAGGGCUUCUCCAAGCCCCCUAGUGCUUCAGCUUUGGUGGAGGAGACCUGAGGAAUAAAACAACAAAAGCAAAAAACGGAGACUUUAGCGCAACCAACACCAAGGCAGCAUUUAACCCAGGGGGUGGCGCAGAGGACUGGAGAAUUCAUACAGCAAGAAGGGGGUGAUUUUUCACAGAGAGCAGUGUCUGCGCAGAGCCACGCACCAAGGCGCAGUUGGGAGCCAGGAUCUCCUUCUCCUCUUCAUUCCUUCUCUCCGACGCUGGGAGCGAGGCUACGCAGCCAGCCUCCCACGCUUCCCCCGAAUGCAGGCUCCCGUGUGUGGCCAUGCUUCUCCGCUCAGGACCCAAAAGCAUGCUGGAUGUCACCCCACUCUUCACGCCGUAGGAUAAGUGUCAGCAGCACCCCUGCCAGGUUGAGCGAGCAUUAUGGCCAUGGGUCCCACGGUCAUCACUAUUGAGGAGGUGCGGGCGCUGGAGAGCAAGGAGGAGCAGGAGGAGUCCAUUUUGGCCUUGCUGGGCAUCGUUGGCACCUUCCUCAACCUCUUUGUCAUCGUCUUUGUUUACAUAUACACUGUCGUGUGACCUAAGCCAGAGUAGGCGUGAUCCUCCAAAACGGCAAGGCACAAACCAAGAUUACUUUUAACCCUAAAUCAACAUACACUGGAUUUUAAAUCCCGAGCUCCUCCUCCCCUUAACUUUAUACUAGUUAAAAACGACAUGAGCAGUUUCCCAACACAGAGAGUGAGGGUGGACAGUUAUGUGGAGGAGGCGUCUCAGAGCCACAAACCAGGGAGAUAACAGUGAGCUGGUGGCUACAUCAGGACCAUAGCUGUGCUGGAUCUGGAUCCAGGAUGGGCAGACAGACACUGGCCCCGCCCCAGCCAGGGUUCACUUUCCCAGGCUACAGGCCAGCACAGCCUGGAGUGGAACUUCACCUUGGACUCAUUGGCGUGAUGAGGGAAACAGUGUUACUUUCAAAUCUCCUUUGUCAAAUGGAUUAUAAAAACGGAAUAAGGGACACUGAUGUCACUGGCCUGGACGGUUCAAGGAACAUGGCGUGGAGGAGGCAGUGCAUGCAAAGAACACUGGGAAGCCAUUACAGAUGAACUGUACACCACCAUAUCCCAUUGGUAAUCUUCCGGGGACAGCAUUUUAAACUGCUUGGUGGGAUGUCACAGCGCACGUUACCCCGGCAAUGUGGCUCUGGAGGAGCAUUAAUGUAAUGUGCUGCUUGCUGUCAGAUAGGCCACACACGCGCACACACACACACACACCCCAAAACCAAAGGGUUAGUCACCGCUUCUCAUGAUUUGACAAAUCACAACAGAGCGAUCUCUAUUGUCUGUAUCUCGCUCCCGGCAAGAACUGAUCUGCGAGGAGAGCAGGAGUGGCAAUGACUAGGAAACAUUUCUAUUCCAAUUGACCACCUGGGACUUCAAAACCAAAACUGGAGAUCUGCAAUAAAAAGGGAAGUGGAGAGAAAGACAGAUAGGAGAGCCUGCGGUGGCGAUGAAAUCAUCCGCAGGGGUGGAAAGGACCUUGUGGGCGCCAGAAAGAAAGCUCCAUUCUGCAUUUACUAAAACAUAAGGCCUGACUUACACUGUCUCUUUCUGCAUAUUUUUCCACGUUCUGUUUGGUUAUUGGGGGGUGGGGGUGGGGGGGUGACUGAUGUAUUUGUUCAUGUUGAUUUCAGGGUAGGGUCAGUAAUCCUGUUUCUGUAUAAAAAUGUAAAGCUUUUAUAAAUAUAUGGAUAAACUCUAGAUGUACUGUGCUAUAGGGAAAAUGUAAACAAUAAAAUUAGAAUAUAUGAAUUGGA